rnacentral:rRNA from 1 species
AAUGGGGGGAACCCUGACGCAGCAACGCCGCGUGAAGGAUGAAGGUUUUCGGAUUGUAAACUUCUUUGAUGAGGGACGAAUAAAUGACGGUACCUCAAAAACAAGCCACGGCUAACUACGUGCCAGCAGCCGCGGUAAUACGUAGGUGGCGAGCGUUGUCCGGAAUUACUGGGUGUAAAGGGCGUGUAGGCGGGAAUGUAAGUCAGAUGUGAAAUACCAUGGCUCAACUGUGGGGCUGCAUCUGAAACUAUGUUUCUUGAGUGCUGGAGAGGAAAGCGGAAUUCCUAGUGUAGCGGUGAAAUGCGUAGAUAUUAGGAGGAACACCAGUGGCGAAGGCGGCUUUCUGGACAGUAACUGACGCUGAGGCGCGAAAGCGUGGGGAGCAAA